UCCGGCUUAUCACCGGCGGUUUCUUUAGAGUGCCCAACUAAAUGAUGGCAACUAAAGACGAGGGUUGCGCUCGUUGCGGGACUUAACCCAACAUCUCACGACACGAACUGACGACAGCCAUGCACCACCUGUGCACCACCCUCGAAGGCGGCGCUAUUUCUAACGCUUGCAGGUGCAUGUCAAGCCCUGGUAAGGUUCUUCGCGUUGCAUCGAAUUAAGCCACAUGCUCCACCGCUUGUGCGGGCCCCCGCCAAUUCCUUUGAGUUUCAACCUUGCGGCCGUAGUUCCCAGGCGGUUCACUUAAUGCGUUAGCUGCGGCACCGAGGCUGAGCCCCAACACCUAGUGAACAUCGUUUAUGGCCAAGACUAC
rnacentral:misc_RNA from 1 species